GCCAUAAAGUGAAGCCGUAAAGGGAGUAUAAAGAGAGAGUGUGUGUGUUAGGUUAUAAUGGCACUAUCCGAUUGAUCCAUUCGAAUGAUUUGAAGGUACGCUUCCGGAGGGAUAUUACAGCGUUCCAGGCACAUUCUACUGACAUUAAAAGAUAUUACUCUUGGAGGUGAUACUGGUUUACGAUGCUGGUGCUACAAUCUAUUCCAUCUCGACAUGGUGUCUUUCUCGAGGCAAAUUAAGUCCCAAACCUCAAUUGCUCAAUUUAAUUACUUUGUGUCAUUGUGGCGGCUCCCAGGCAGCAACAAGAUCCAGUGUUCCGCAUUUCAACCCAAACGUACAUGUUCUAUCUGAGACUCAAUCCACGGCAAUAGGCAAACGACUGUAAUCAAACAUCUCGAAACCCUCGGCCUUCGCUUCCGGACGUUGCCCUGGAUGCUGUUGUGCUGCGAAGAAUUGAAUGUAACCAAUGACUAAUGAAUGAAAAUCCUGCAAACAGAAAACGAAACACGUGCCACUGCUUGUAAGCCAACGCACACGUGGCGGACACAAAAAUCUCUUGGUCCCUAGCUUGUGCCUAUAAUUAAACUGAUUUGUACCAAUCCCGCACACACACACACACACACACACACACACAUCCCAUCCAGGCGUUCAAUAAAUGCAUGCCGAGCCCAGUUUCCUGCCUGAAUGUCCAGUUUUGCCAUUCUGCGAAAAAGCUACAUCUUCGCAGCCACAUCGAAGUCCUUCAAAUGAUUCUCCCGCAGCGCAGCACCAGGCGCUAAAAUGGAUGAUUUGAAGCACACUACAGUGGCGUUGAUGAUGGUACGGAUAAAACCUGUCACGAGUGCGACCGCACGUACGCACCCGACGGCAAGUGCGCACUUGAUUCCAUCCUCCAGCCCCCUCUUGCCGUGAAUUUUGACACGCACAAAGCUCCAGGGCCGAAAAUCCAAAACCGCACCGCACUCGACGGAAACCAAUUGGAACAGCGCGUGAGAGAGAGUGAGCAUCUUCAAGACCUUGAAGCAGGCUGAUCGUAAUCGCGCGGAGACGGGUAAAUUGGAGGAAAAUGAUUGACUUUUGAUAGGCGGCACAGGGCACUAGUCAAGUGGAAAAUCCGGAGCAAACGAAAUGAAGUGUGGGAAGUGUGGAUGGGGAAAAACAAACAACGCGUCAAAGCUGUGUGUGUGUGUCUAAGUUUAAUAGAUUUUCCCGCACCAGUAUUUGCGGGAAUUUGAAUUUGACAGGUAUAGAGUAGCAUCGCGAUUCCGUUUUUGUUCCCCCACUAGUAGGCUAUGGCGCGCAGUCGGUGGAUGUGACGCAUGUGUGACGUAAAGCUGGUGGAUGUCAAGUCGUGCGAAAGUGAAACAUCCCCCGCUCGCCAAGGUCGGAAAGGGGGCAAACUGGUUGACUGAAUUUUUCCGGCUGCUUCCGGGUUUUUGUUACUUCGUGCCGUCGUCGGCCAAUGUCAUAUAGAAGCGAAACGUCACUCAGUGUCACAGGAGUAGAACGGUCGCACCUUUGCUCGAAACCAUCUGCUCAUCAGCUGAUCAAGAAGAGCGGCUGGGCGUUAGUGCCCACAGCAUGUUCGAGAGUUCGCGAGAAUUCACGUAACGACAAUUGGGAGAAGAAUUCUUCAGCGGCAUCAGCUGUCAAUCAGUCGUCGGAUUUCCGUCUUGAUGCGUACAUUUCUUACCAAGCUGACCAUCAGUGAUGGGUGUGUUUGUGUCUAUUUUAAAACGCAACGCCAGCUCUACUCGCCUUCCAAAAAUACUUCACCAAGCAUGCCUUGACCCAGCUGGGUGGUCCACGGAAGGAGCUGAACAGAUGAUGAUAGAACCCAAGGCCCAAGGAAUACAAAGUCAUACAACAUCCCAACAUUUUGUAUAAUUAAUUCUGCAAAACCGAGUUCUCCAAUACAUGUGUUCUGCUACAAGAACCUACGAAGUAAUCCCGGGUGUCCGGAAGACCAUACUGUAUCCUGCCAGCAGUUGAACGCAGUUGCUCCGGUUCCCGCAAUGUACGCCCCUCCACACUGGUGAAUAAUGUAGUAAAGCCUGUGUACAACCAGGAGCAAAGAUUCUUAUUCACCCCCCGGACAAGAAGUGAAUGUAAUACCUGUUUCCGCACCCGAAAGCAAGGGACCUCGCUAACCCGAGCAAUACGAGAGGAAGUGAACAACUAAUCGAACACACGACGGCUUGGUAAUGCUACUUCCCUUCUUUGGUGCCCGGUAGAGCCGGUUGGUGUAUUUUGAAUUGUAAAUUGGAACACUUGGCCUGCUCUUGGAAGUGGCCGGAGGAAGUGGCAGUUAGUAAAAGCGGGCAUAGGAAAUCGGUUCGUUUGUCGCGCUUGAAGAGUUGACGAACUCUCGCGCCGGGCAGUGUACCACACAGCAUCUACUCCGCCGGGUGCCAAGGAACGGCGGGCAAAUGCCAUGGCAACCAGAGCAAACCGUCAGCAAAUGCAAAUGCCUUUAUGCAAAUCGUGCCUGCUCAAGAACUUCAAGAAUUGGUGCUCGUAUCUAAUGUUCCCGUUCCGAGGUCUCUUGGUACAUCUACCAUUUGAAGAAGAAGUGUAGCGCCCCGUCACGCCGUAUUGGCGUUCGAUUGAAGAAGAGCAACAAUCGUUGCCCGCCGGACCACACUUUAUCUUUUCCCUUGCACCUGGAAGAUGCAAUGAAAUUAGCUUCCUGCGAAUCGCGAUAAAAAGAAAGAACCGGUGAAAUGGAAAGUAAUAACUCUUCCCUAACCUCUCACGUUCCUCGUUUCGAAAACCAAUAAUAUGGAUAUAUGUUUCACGCCACGUUUGGCCGGUCAUCGGCCUUCAGCCUGGGCUUGCUGUCGCCUCCUCCUUCUCCUCCUGCUCGAUGACAUCUUCGCGCGCGCGAUGAUAAAGUGGGACAAUUUGCCCACCUUCUGCUUUCUUUCUGGAGGGAGUGAAAGCCACUCCAGCCCGGAGGAUCAUAUUCACACAUCGUGGAAGGAUUGAUGGCAAUGUCUUUAUGGGGUUCGCUUACGGCGGAGCUGCAACCGGACCAGCUGCUGGACCACGCGUGUGUAUAGGGGCAAACCGUCCGUCAGAACCCGAGCGCGAGCUAAUGGUUUGGUGUAAGCAGGAGCGCAAGCGGAGAGAUGUUUUACGAUUUGCAAACACACCCGUUCGAUUGCAUUCGGAUGCAGUCUUCUUAGGGCUGGAUUGGAUGUCAAUCCAAGGUUUGGUUUUACUCGGCGCAAGACGGCGCAGUCAAAUAGCAGACCUUGCUAGAGGGUAUGUCUACGAUAGAUUUACGACCUAACGAGCAACUUUCGGUUACAGUAACAGCCCGUCGAAAGUGUUUUUUUUAUAAUACUUUAUGAACUUAAUCCGUCCUUCCUCCAAAACUGCUCACAACGAUGGGUUUAUGGGAUAUAAUUGUGUGCGAAAGGCGAGAUUCCGCUCAUCGGUUCCCGGCCACAUCAUCAGCACGCAUGCCUUCCUCUGCAGUGAGCGAACCAAUCGUUCGAUACGGUGAACCACGGCUCCUAUCAGUCAAUGAUUUGUGUUGAUUUAUAUUCGAACCAUAUACAUAUCAUCAAUAUUAAUUACGGAUCUAUCAACAAACGUUGCCGCACUGUUUUGGAUGCUGCUAGCCGACACAGCUCAGGUUAACCUUAUGCUUGUUCGUUUGCAUGGAUUCCGACGAGCACUCCAAUUACCAUUCAGCUGCAAACACACGAUGGUGACCUGUUGAUUGAUUUUUGGAACCUCUUUUUUUUUAUAAAAUAGGCAUACCAUUUCACACCGCUAAUGAGAUGUUACACCUUCACGUGUGCUCUUUCACAAUGGCUCGAUGUGCCUGUAAUGCAACAGCAGCUGGCAGGUUUAGCUGUAUUAAAUUACAAUUUAUGAAGCUCGUCGCUCAUCAUCAUCAUUGAUGGAGUUUGUACAAAAUUUUGCAAUCCGAGAAAUUGUUCACCGAAACUGCUAGUUUCGAAUUCCACAACCGUGCCCGCUCACCCCGGCACGUCACUCAAGCGCUAAAUUAUACCGAGCGGAUGACGAAAUGCGGCAAGAGUUCAUCGGAACACCACCAACGAACGAUGACACAUAAUUGACAUGUUCCAUAAACAAACUAUAUCGAACAUUCAUCAUUAGCCUGUCGGUUGGAAAAUACAAUUAAACCAAAAACCCGAAAACAUCCAAUCGAUCCAAACAGCUCCGUCAGAUGAAAUGCACUGACACCAGUGCAUUGGGAAAGGGGCGUUGUUCGCUUCAUACAACGCAAGAUACUGUGCGGGCUGUCAAAAUUCUGCUCCCUUGUGCGCUCCCACAUGAUGCCAUGCAGAAUUCCUGCGCCUAGCAACGAUCGAAAGGAAUUUCCAUUCCACUUUGUGUCGCAUUCUUGCCCCUCCCACCCGUUUCGCUGGCUUGUUUUUGUACGAUGAAUGAAGCGAAGCGAAGCGAUAUAAAUACAUGCCCACUUUUGAGGUGAAUUUUGUUCCCAACCACACAUCAUCGACACAAGUAAUUAUAAACGCAUUGCAUCAUUUGCACAGCGAUUUGCGUUCUUUCCGUUGCAACCGGGUGCACCAUGGUUUGAAUCGGCGUUGUCAGCGAAUCGUUAACUUGUGCAGACGUAUGGUAGAUGUGUUGCGAAUUAAUUAGGACUAGGAAUUUGUUGUUCACGUUUAUCCAUCUUUAGAAAUUAGUUAGUAGUCGAUUGGUCAGAAUCGUUUGGAUUUGUAAGAUUUGCAUUGAGAGCAAAGUAUUAUGUACUACAACGCAUUCUGACUCAGCAAGAUUCCUAUUAGAUUCGUUAUUAGUUUGCUAUUCCUAACGUGUAUUUACUUCUAAUUAGAACACUACUUAUUUGUCUUCUUUUACUUUAGCUCUUAUUUUCAAUUUUAGUUUCUCUGUUUUGAGUUUCACAUUUUGGCGCUAUUUUUGUUGUAUUUUCUGAUCUUUUAUCCAUUUACAACCAUUUUAAUACUAUUUCUGUUUAUUUUAUUUGAGUUGUUGGUUUGAGUUAUACAUUCUCAUCAUUAAUCAUUUGCCUGUUGUGACUGAUUCUAACGAUUUUUUCUACUCUUUUAUGUAUUUGCAUAUUUUAUGUUUCAUGUACUUGCGGGUCGUGUUCGUCAUUUUGACCUUUUGAAUGUAUUUCUUAUAUAUUUUUUUUGAUUGAUUGAUUGCUUAAAGUGUGAAAUUCGUCCAUAUUUACUGGUUAGUGUUAACUUUAUC